GGGCUAGUGUUAGCAAUUCUCUCAGGUUGACCCCUGAGCUCACCUACAGGUUUUCGCGAAGUUGGAAUAACCUUCUAGGCUACCAACGAUUAGGUAGGGAAUAAAAUUAUCAUCCAUUUUGAAUAUACCAUAAAAAAAAGUCAUCGUAACCCUCACCAGCCAAAGUCCUUACUUAAAGUCUGGUUCAUGUGCCGUACAAACAAUGAACCGCGAUUAUUAUUAGAUAAGUACGAACUGCGAAAACAAUUGAACGUUGGAAAGUGCAUAGAAAGCGUGCGCCGUUGUACUGAUACGGCCAAUUUGGCGUGACCUCUCUCUUUUGUGUCGUAAUGAUAAACAUAAUAAAUCAUUCAGAGAUCUGCGUGUUUUGGUUUAAUAGUUCGUUUAUGUUUAAGAAUAAAGUUAAUGCAGUUUUAAUACCCUUUUAGUGACUUCAUCUACAACGUGAAUAAAUUAAGAGGUCAUUCUUACUGCUACAAAAAGACGGCGACAAUUUUAAGAACUCGUGAUUACUGGUAAAUUGAAAAGAUGAUGAGGGUGCAGUCCAAUGCGUUGACCAGCUCACAGACGUCCACUGCUGGACAUAGGCCUCCCCCAAGCCUGGCCACAAAGACCGGUCCUGCACUGCCUGCAUCCAUUGGAUCCCCGCGAACCACAAUAGGUCGUUAGUUCAACUUGAGGGAGGCCUACCCACGCUGCGUCUUCCGGUACGCGGUCGCCACUCAAGAACUUUCUGGUCCCAGCGGCCUUCCGUUCUACGAGCAAUGUGUUCUGCCCAAUGUUCAAUGUGUUCAAUGUCGCAAUACCAAUAAGUAUGAGUAAGUAUUUAUUCUAACAAAGUAGGGAGCAAAGGAAACACAUGAAUCACUACUUCUAUAAUUAGUAUCCACUCUUUUUUUUUCUUCGUUGCCUGACGGUAAUGAUUUAGCGAAUUGCGUAACCCGGACGCGCAUCCGACUUAGAGACGUGCUUCUAAUCACGUAACCAAUUAUAUCGAUUGUUUUACGUAAAAACACCGAUCGAUAAUUCGAUAUGGCUAUUUAUCGUUUAAUACAAUUUAAUAUUAAUCGAUUUGUUUCGUUUGACGUGAUGUAAGACUUUCGCGGACUUUUAAAAUUGACUGUCAUAAAACCAGAAAGUGUUUUAAUCUUAUUAACCGACUUCAAAAAAGGAGGAGGUUCUCAAUUCGACUGUAUGUUUUUUUAUUUAUGUUUGUUACCUCAGAACUUUUGACUGGGUGAAUCGAUUUUGAUGAUUAUUUUCUUAUUAGUAAGCUGACGCUUCCCGUGUGGUCCCAUUUCGAUUUAGUCCAGUUCUAAUAAUGGUAUCCAUGAGAAAACCAUAUAAGUCUUAAAUUUGCAUUAAGUACGUGCGCGACAAAUAGACGAUUAACUCAAUAUCACGCCAACCGAUUUCGAUGAUUAUUGUUUUUAGUGUAUAUUAAUUUGUUUUGGAAUAUUAUUCUUUUUCUAGUUGAAGUCGGUUUUUGAUAAAGCAUGUCUAUUUACAAUUAUUUUGUAACAUAAAGUAUGAGAAAAUAUAGACUUAUUCUUUAA